rnacentral:rRNA from 1 species
GACGAACCGUGCAAACGUUGUUCGGAAUCACUGGGCUUAAAGGGCGCGUAGGCGGCUUAUCAAGUCGGGGGUGAAAUACUUCAGCUUAACUGGAGAAGUGCCUUCGAUACUGGUGGGCUUGAGGGAGGUAGGGGUCUGUGGAACCUCUGGUGGAGCGGUGAAAUGCGUUGAUAUCAGAAGGAACGCCGGUGGCGAAAGCGACGGACUGGACCUCUUCUGACGCUGAGGCGCGAAAGCUAGGGGAGCAAACGGG